AGCGAACGCUGGCGGCAGGCCUAACACGUGCAAGUCGAACGAACUCUUCGGAGUUAGUGGCGGACGGGUGAGUAACACGUGGGAACGUGCCUUUUGGUUCGGAAUAACUCAGGGAAACUUGUGCUAAUACCGAAUGUGCCCUUCGGGGAAAAGAUUUAUCGCCAUUAGAGCGGCCCGCGUCUGAUUAGCUAGUUGGUGAGGUAACGGCUCACCAAGGCGACGAUCAGUAGCUGGUCUGAGAGGAUGACCAGCCACACUGGGACUGAGACACGGCCCAGACUCCUACGGGAGGCAGCAGUGGGGAAUCUUGCGCAAUGGGCGAAAGCCUGACGCAGCCAUGCCGCGUGAAUGAUGAAGGUCUUAGGAUUGUAAAAUUCUUUCACCGGGGACGAUAAUGACGGUACCCGGAGAAGAAGCCCCGGCUAACUUCGUG
rnacentral:rRNA from 1 species